rnacentral:rRNA from 1 species
GUGUCAGCAGCCGCGGUAAUACAGAGGUGGCAAGCGUUGUUCGGAAUUACUGGGCGUAAAGGGCGCGUAGGCGGUCUUGCAAGUCCCGUGUGAAAUCCCUCGGCUCAACUGAGGAACUGCACGGGAAACUGCUUGGCUUGAGUUCGGGAGAGGGAAGCGGAAUUCCGGGUGUAGCGGUGAAAUGCGUAGAUAUCCGGAGGAACACCGGUGGCGAAGGCGGCUUCCUGGACCGACACUGACGCUGAGGCGCGAAAGCUAGGGGAGCAAACGGGAUUAGAUACCCCGGUAGUCCUAGCUGUAAACGAUGAGUGCUGGGUGUAGAGGGUAUUAACCCCUUCUGUGCCGAAGCUAACGCAUUAAGCACUCCGCCUGGGGAGUACGGUCGCAAGGCUGAA